AGGGCGCAAGCGUUGUCCGGAAUUAUUGGGCGUAAAGAGCUCGUAGGCGGUCUGUCGCGUCUGCUGUGAAAUCCCGAGGCUCAACCUCGGGCUUGCAGUGGGUACGGGCAGACUAGAGUGCGGUAGGGGAGAAUGGAAUUCCUGGUGUAGCGGUGGAAUGCGCAGAUAUCAGGAGGAACACCGAUGGCGAAGGCAGUUCUCUGGGCCGUAACUGACGCUGAGGAGCGAAAGCGUGGGGAGCGAACAGGAUUAGAUACCCUGGUAGUCAAGGGCG
rnacentral:rRNA from 1 species